AGCGCCUUCCAGCCACGAAGAAGGCGCGGCACACAGCUCAGUAACACGUGGCUAACCUGCCCUCGGGACGAGAACACCCCCGGGAAACUGGGGCUAAUUCUCGAUAGGCGAAGAACUCUGGAAUGAGUCUUUACCCAAAAGACGUUUAGAUCAUGCUUCUGGGCGUCGCCCAAGGAUGGGGCCGCGACCGAUCAGGUAGUUGGUGAGGCAAUGGCUCACCAAGCCUUUAACCGGUGCGGGCCGUGGGAGCGGGAGCCCGGAGAUGGGCACUGAGACAAGGGCCCAGGCCCUACGGGGCGCAGCAGUCGCGAAAACUUUGCAAUAAGCGAAAGCUUGACAGGGCUAUCCCGAGUGCCAUCCGCUGAGGAAGGCUUUUACCCAGUCUAGUAAGCUGGGGGAAUAAGGAGAGGGCAAGUCUGGUGUCAGCCGCCGCGGUAAUACCAGCCCCCUGAGUGAUAGGGACGACUAUUUAGCCUAGAGCGUCCGUAGCCGGCUUAGCAAGUCUUUCGUUAAAUCUGGCGACUUAAUCGUCAGGCCGCGGAAGAUACUGUUAGGCUAGAGGGCGGGAGAGGUUGACGGUAGUCCCGGGGUAGGGGUGAAAUCCUAUAAUCCCGGGAGGACCACCAGUGGCGAAGGCGGUCAACUAGAACGCGCCUGACGGUGAGGGACGAAAGCUGGGGGAGCGAACCGGAUUAGACACCCCGGGUAGUCCCAGCUGUAAACGAUGCGGGCUAGGUGUUGGAACAGCCACGUGCUGCUCCAGUGCCGCAGGGAAGCUGUUAAGUCUGCCGCCUGGGGGAGUACGAUCCGCAAGAUUGAAACUUAAAAGGAAUUGGGCGGGGGGAGCACCACAAAGGGGUGAAGCUUUGCGGUUCAAUUUGGAUU
rnacentral:rRNA from 1 species